GUGCUCGCUUCAGCAGCACAUAUACUAAAAUUGGAACGAUAUACAGAAGAUUAGCAUGGCUCCUGCGCAAGGAAAUAAUACAUCAACAGGAUAUUGUACUGUUCUUC
ensembl:snRNA U6 U6 spliceosomal RNA